AAAAAAAAGAAAGAAAAGAAAUGCUUCAAAUCCCACUUGUGUAAAACUUCCACCAAAAGUUCUGCUCUUGUCUGCAGCUGAUCUGGACACUACAGUUUUGAUAUCCACCAAGUGGAAAGUUUGCUCAACUUUAAUUUUUCAGUCAGAAUUGUGUAAGCUGAAACAAUUGAAAUUACUAUGGUAUUGGCUACUGUUUCUGCUGUUAAUUGUGUAUCCUCUUCAGUUAAGGCACAAUCAACAUUAAUUUUUCAUUGCAAAUUGAUGUGGAUUGUCCACUGCUGCAGGCUUCAUCUUCAACAUCAUUUUGUUCCUUCUUAAAAUGAGUUAGUCAUUCGUAAUCUGCUGAUCUCUUUGGGGCAUUGUCUCUAUAAACUUUUUGUAAUGCAUCAAUUAUUUCACCAUUUUUCCACCCAAGCAUCACCAUAAAUUUGAUGUUGUUUCGUGCUUUAAAUUUAGCAGAAUUCAUGUUGUUAUGAUAGAGGCUCUUCUCAAACUGAUGCCUUAUUCUUCUUAGUGCCCCAAACUAGAUCAAUCAUGGCAGAAUGGGAAGCAGGAACAUCUUAAAUGGUGGCAGGCAAGAGAGAGUGUGAGCAUGUGAAGGAGGAACAGUCAAACACUUAUAAAACCAUCAGAUCUCAUAAGAGCUCACUAACUAUCAUAAGAACAGUAUGGGGGAAACUGUCCCC